GGAAAAUCCAUCGUUAGAAUACCUGCCUGUCACGCAGGGGGUCGCGGGUUCGAGUCCCGUCCGUUCCGCCA
rnacentral:tRNA from 1 species